GCCUCUAUGGCGCAGUGGUUAACGUGUGUCACUUGUAGCACAUGCAAGUAAUGACAAGAUCCCUCGUUCGAUUCGGGGUGGAGGCA